rnacentral:rRNA from 1 species
GAUCAUGGCUCAGAACGACGCUGGUGGCGUGUCUUAUACAUGCAAGUCGAGCGGUCCAGCAAUGGAUAGCGGCGAACGGGUGAGUAACGCGUAAGCAAUCUGCCCCCUGGCUCGGGAAUAGCCGUGCCAACGCGCGGAUAAUACCGGAUAUCGUGGGGUCCUGCAUAGGGCCUUGACAAAAGAUUUAUCGGCAGGGGAUGAGCUUGCGUCCGAUUAGCUAGUUGGCGGGGCAACGGCCCACCAAGGCGACGAUCGGUAGCCGGCCUGAGAGGGUGAUCGGCCACAUUGGGACUGAGAUACGGCCCAGACUCCUACGGGAGGCAGCAGUAGGGAAUAUUGCACAAUGGGGGAAACCCUGAUGCAGCAACGCCACGUGUGGGAAGAAGCAUUUCGGUGUGUAAACCACUGUCGUGAGGGAAUAAGGCUGAGUUUCGGCUCAGUUGAAUGUACCUCGAGAGGAAGCACCGGCAAACUUCGUGCCAGCCGCCGC